UUUAUAGUUAUUUUUCAACAUGGGAAACUGAAAUUGGGCAUAACCUUGCGGAAGAAGCUGUCCCCUAGCAAAGAAUAAAACUGUGGACUGACCCCCACCCAUUUGCGAAGAAAGCACUGGGUCUUCAGCUUUCAUUGUCCAGUCGGUGGUCUUUGUGGACACCAGGGGCCUCUCCUGCUGAAGACUAUCUGGACUUCCUGAUUUUCACUCCUGUAUAAACCCCCUCCCCCAUUAGUACCUUUGUCUCCUUGGCAAAAAAAAAAAAAAAAAAAAAAAAAAAAAAUGUUUUUCACUUAAGUAAAAUAAAAACUACCCAGUAUUUGUUUCUGGAGUGAAAUUAUAAACUUCAUUGUACAUUCUUCCUGGUUUUGAUGCUUAUCUUGAAGAGUUCAGUGAAAAUAAAUUGUUUUUAUGAAAGCA